rnacentral:rRNA from 1 species
GAUGAACGCUGGCGGCGUGCCUAAUACAUGCAAGUCGAGCGAACAGAUGAGGAGCUUGCUCCUCUGACGUUAGCGGCGGACGGGUGAGUAACACGUGGAUAACCUACCUAUAAGACUGGGAUAACUUCGGGAAACCGGAGCUAAUACCGGAUAAUAUAUUGAACCGCAUGGUUCAAUAGUGAAAGACGGUUUUGCUGUCACUUAUAGAUGGAUCCGCGCCGCAUUAGCUAGUUGGUAAGGUAACGGCUUACCAAGGCGACGAUGCAUAGCCGACCUGAGAGGGUGAUCGGCCACACUGGAACUGAGACACGGUCCAGACUCCUACGGGAGGCAGCAGUAGGGAAUCUUCCGCAAUGGGCGAAAGCCUGACGGAGCAACGCCGCGUGAGUGAUGAAGGUCUUCGGAUCGUAAAACUCUGUUAUUAGGGAAGAACAAAUGUGUAAGUAACUAUGCACGUCUUGACGGUACCUAAUCAGAAAGCCACGGCUAACUACGUG